rnacentral:rRNA from 1 species
GCACAAGCGGUGGAGCAUGUGGUUAAUUCGAAGCAACGCGAAGAACUUACCAGGUCUUGACAUCCCCUGACAACCCGAGAGAUCGGGCGUUCCCCUUCGGGGGACAGGGUGACAGGUGGUGCAUGGUUGUCGUCAGCUCGUGUCGUGAGAUGUUGGGUUAAGUCCCGCAACGAGCGCAACCCUUGUCCUCAGUUGCCAGCACUUUGGGUGGGAACUCUGGGGAGACUGCCGGUGACAAACCGGAGGAAGGUGGGAUGACGUCGAGUCAUCAUGGCCCUUAUGGCCAGGGCUACACACGUGCUACAAUGGUCGGUACAGAGGGUUGCCAAGCCGCGAGGUGGAGCCAAUCCCAUAAAGCCGAUCGUAGUCCGGAUUGGAGUCUGCAACUCGACUCCAUGAAGUCGGAAUCGCUAGUAAUCGCAGAUCAGCAGUGCUGCGGUCGAAUACGUUCCGGGCCUU